AUCAACUUUCGAUGGUAGGAUAGAGGCCUACCAUGGUGGUAACGGGUAACGGGGUGUUAGGGCACGACACCGGAGAGGGAGCCUGAGAAACGGCUACCACAUCCAAGGAUGGCAGCAGGCGCGCAAAUUACCCAAUCCCGGCACGGGGAGGUAGUGACAAUAAAUAACAAUACGGGGUUCUUUCGGAUCUCGUAAUUGGAAUGAGUACAAUUUAAAUCUCUUAACGAGGAACAAUUGGAGGGCAAGUCUGGUGCCAGCAGCCGCGGUAAUUCCAGCUCCAAUAGCGUAUAUUAAAGUUGUUGCAGUUAAAAAGCUCGUAGUUGAAUUUCGGGGUUAGCAGGUCGGUCGUGCCAUCGGUAUGAACUGGUCUCGCUGAUCCCUCCCUCUUGACGAACUGUGAUGCCAUUAAUUUGGUGUCGCAGGGAAUCAGGACUGUUACUUUGAAAAAAUUAGAGUGUUUAAAGCAGGCUCACGCUUGAAUACAUUAGCAUGGAAUAAUGAAAUAGGACGUUUGAUCCUAUUUUGUUGGUUUCUAGGAUUGACGUAAUGAUUAAUAGGGAUAGUUGGGGGCAUUAGUAUUCAAUUGUCAGAGGUGAAAUUCUUGGAUUUAUUGAAGACUAACUACUGCGAAAGCAUUUGCCAAGGAUGUUUUCAUUAAUCAAGAACGAAAGUUAGGGGAUCGAAGACGAUCAGAUACCGUCGUAGUCUUAACCAUAAACUAUGCCGACUAGGGAUCGGAUGAUGUUAAUUUUUUAAUGACUCAUUCGGCGCCUUACGGGAAAUCAAAGUGUUUGGGUUC
rnacentral:rRNA from 1 species